rnacentral:rRNA from 1 species
GAUGGACGCUGGCGGCGUGCUUAACACAUGCAAGUCGAACGAUGAAAGCGGGAGCUUGCUCCUGCUGGAUUAGUGGCGAACGGGUGAGUAACACGUGAGUAACCUGCCCUUGACUCUGGGAUAAGCGUUGGAAACGACGUCUAAUACCGGAUACGACCCUCGGAGGCAUCUCCAGGGGGGUGGAAAGAAUUUCGGUCAAGGAUGGACUCGCGGCCUAUCAGCUAGUUGGUGAGGUAACGGCCCACCAAGGCGACGACGGGUAGCCGGCCUGAGAGGGUGACCGGCCACACUGGGACUGAGACACGGCCCAGACUCCUACGGGAGGCAGCAGUGGGGAAUAUUGCACAAUGGGCGAAAGCCUGAUGCAGCAACGCCGCGUGAGGGACGACGGCCUCGG